rnacentral:rRNA from 1 species
CUGCCAGUAGUCAUAUGCUUGUCUCAAAGAUUAAGCCAUGCAUGUGUAAGUAUAAGUAUUGUACAGCGAAACUGCGAAUGGCUCAUUACAUCAGUUAUAGUUUAUUUGAUAUUUGAAAGUUACAUGGAUAACCGUGGCAAUUCUACAGCUAAUACAUGCUUCAAAACCUGACUUCGGAAGGGUUGUAUUUAUUAGAUAUUAAACCAUCCCCUCGGGGCUGUGAUGAAUCAUAAUAACUGAUCGAAUCGAGGUUCGCCUUGAUAAAUCAUUCAAGUUUCUGCCCUAUCAGCUGUAGAUGGUAGUGUAUUGGACUACCAUGGCUAUUACGGGUAACGAGAAUUAGGGUUCGAUUCCGGAGAGGGAGCCUGAGAAACGGCUACCACAUCUACGGAUGGCAGCAGGCGACGAAAAUUCG